rnacentral:rRNA from 1 species
CCUACGGGAGGCAGCAGUGGGGAAUAUUGCGCAAUGGACGAAAGUCUGACGCAGCGACGCCGCGUGUGGGAUGAAGCCUUUCGGGGUGUAAACCACUGUUGCCCGGGACGAAACUCCUCUUUCGAGAGGACUGACGGUACCGGGUGAGGAAGCACCGGCUAACUCUGUGCCAGCAGCCGCGGUAAUACAGAGGGUGCGAGCGUUGUCCGGAAUCACUGGGCGUAAAGGGCGCGUAGGUGGCGGGAUAAGUAUGUGGUGAAAGCCCGGGGCUCAACCCCGUGUCUGCCAUGUAGACUGUCUUGCUCGAGCAUAGUAGAGGCAAGUGGAAUUCCGGGUGUAGCGGUGGAAUGCGUAGAGAUCCGGAAGAACACCGGUGGCGAAGGCGGCUUGCUGGGCUAUUGCUGACACUGAGGCGCGACAGCGUGGGGAGCAAACAGGAUUAGAUACCCUGGUAGUCCACGCCGUAAACGAUGGGUACUAGGUGUCUGGGGGAGCGACCCCCUGGGUGCCGGCGCUAACGCAUGAAGUACCCCGCCUGGGGAGUACGGCCGCAAGGCUGAAACUCAAAUGAAUUGACGG